rnacentral:rRNA from 1 species
GUGCCAGCAGCCGCGGUAAUACGUUGGGUGCAAGCGUUAAUCGGUAUUACUGGGCGUAAAGCCCGCGUGGGUGGUUCGUUAAGUUGGAUGUGAAAGCCCCGGGCUCAACCUGGGAACUGCAUCCAAAAUUGGCGAGCUAGAGUAUGGCAGAGGGUGGUGGAAUUUCCUGUGUAGCGGUGAAAUGCGUAGAUAUAGGAAGGAACACCAGUGGCGAAGGCGACCACCUGGGCUAAUACUGACACUGAGGUGCGAAAGCGUGGGG